rnacentral:rRNA from 1 species
UACGGGAGGCAGCAGUGGGGAAUAUUGCACAAUGGGCGCAAGCCUGAUGCAGCCAUGCCGCGUGUAUGAAGAAGGCCUUAGGGUUGUAAAGUACUUUCAUCGGGGAGGAAAAACAAAACUAAUAAUUUUAUUUCUUGACGUUACCCGAAAAAGAAGCACCGGCUAACUCCGUGCCAGCAGCCGCGGUAAUACGGAGGGUGCUAGCGUUAAUCAGAAUUACUGGGCGUAAAGAGCACGUAGGUGGUUUUUUUAAGUUCAGAUGUGAAAUCCCUGGGCUUAACCUGGAACUGCAUUUUGAAACUGAAAUACUAGAGUAUCGUAGAGGGAGGUAGAAUUCUAGGUGUAGCGGUGAAAUGCGUAGAUAUCUGGAGGAAUACCUGUGGCGAAAGCGGCCUCCUAAACGAAUACUGACACUGAGGUGCGAAAGCGUGGGGAGCAAACAGGGAUUAGAUACC